rnacentral:rRNA from 1 species
GGGUUGUGAGGUUAAGCGACUAAGCGUACACGGUGGAUGCCCUGGCAGUCAGAGGCGAUGAAGGACGUGCUAAUCUGCGAUAAGCGUCGGUAAGGUGAUAUGAACCGUUAUAACCGGCGAUUUCCGAAUGGGGAAACCCAGUGUGUUUCGACACACUAUCAUUAACUGAAUCCAUAGGUUAAUGAGGCGAACCGGGGGAACUGAAACAUCUAAGUACCCCGAGGAAAAGAAAUCAACCGAGAUUCCCCCAGUAGCGGCGAGCGAACGGGGAGCAGCCCAGAGCCUGAAUCAGUGUGUGUGUUAGUGGAAGCGUCUGGAAAGGCGCGCGAUACAGGGUGACAGCCCCGUACACAAAAAUGCACAUACUGUGAGCUCGAUGAGUAGGGCGGGACACGUGGUAUCCUGUCUGAAUAUGGGGGGACCAUCCUCCAAGGCUAAAUACUCCUGACUGACCGAUAGUGAACCAGUACCGUGAGGGAAAGGCGAAAAGAACCCCGGCGAGGGGAGUGAAAAAGAACCUGAAACCGUGUACGUACAAGCAGUGGGAGCACGCUUCGGCGUGUGACUGCGUACCUUUUGUAUAAUGGGUCAGCGACUUAUAUUCUGUAGCAAGGUUAACCGAAUAGGGGAGCCGAAGGGAAACCGAGUCUUAACUGGGCGUUAAGUUGCAGGGUAUAGACCCGAAACCCGGUGAUCUAGCCAUGGGCAGGUUGAAGGUUGGGUAACACUAACUGGAGGACCGAACCGACUAAUGUUGAAAAAUUAGCGGAUGACUUGUGGCUGGGGGUGAAAGGCCAAUCAAACCGGGAGAUAGCUGGUUCUCCCCGAAAGCUAUUUAGGUAGCGCCUCGUGAAUUCAUCUCCGGGGGUAGAGCACUGUUUCGGCAAGGGGGUCAUCCCGACUUACCAACCCGAUGCAAACUGCGAAUACCGGAGAAUGUUAUCACGGGAGACACACGGCGGGUGCUAACGUCCGUCGUGAAGAGGGAAACAACCCAGACCGCCAGCUAAGGUCCCAAAGUCAUGGUUAAGUGGGAAACGAUGUGGGAAGGCCCAGACAGCCAGGAUGUUGGCUUAGAAGCAGCCAUCAUUUAAAGAAAGCGUAAUAGCUCACUGGUCGAGUCGGCCUGCGCGGAAGAUGUAACGGGGCUAAACCAUGCACCGAAGCUGCGGCAGCGACACUAUGUGUUGUUGGGUAGGGGAGCGUUCUGUAAGCCUGUGAAGGUGUGCUGUGAGGCAUGCUGGAGGUAUCAGAAGUGCGAAUGCUGACAUAAGUAACGAUAAAGCGGGUGAAAAGCCCGCUCGCCGGAAGACCAAGGGUUCCUGUCCAACGUUAAUCGGGGCAGGGUGAGUCGACCCCUAAGGCGAGGCCGAAAGGCGUAGUCGAUGGGAAACAGGUUAAUAUUCCUGUACUUGGUGUUACUGCGAAGGGGGGACGGAGAAGGCUAUGUUGGCCGGGCGACGGUUGUCCCGGUUUAAGCGUGUAGGCUGGUUUUCCAGGCAAAUCCGGAAAAUCAAGGCUGAGGCGUGAUGACGAGGCACUACGGUGCUGAAGCAACAAAUGCCCUGCUUCCAGGAAAAGCCUCUAAGCAUCAGGUAACAU